rnacentral:rRNA from 1 species
CAGCCGCCGCGGGAAUACGAAGGGGGCUAGCGUUGCUCGGAAUGACUGGGCGUAAAGGGCGCGUAGGCGGAUUGCGCAGUCAGAUGUGAAAUUCCUGGGCUUAACCUGGGGGCUGCAUUUGAGACGCGUAGUCUAGAGUGUGAAAGAGGGUCGUGGAAUUCCCAGUGUAGAGGUGAAAUUCGUAGAUAUUGGGAAGAACACCGGUGGCGAAGGCGGCGACCUGGUUCAUAACUGACGCUGAGGCGCGAAAGCGUGGGGAGCAAACAGGAUUAGAUACCCCCGUAGUCCCUGUCUCUUAUAC